rnacentral:rRNA from 1 species
UACAGAGGGGGCAAGCGUUGUUCGGAAUUACUGGGCGUAAAGGGCGCGUAGGCGGCCUGCUAAGUCGAACGUGAAAUCCCCGAGCUCAACUCGGGAACUGCGUCCGAUACUGGCAGGCUUGAAUCCGGGAGAGGGAUGCGGAAUUCCAGGUGUAGCGGUGAAAUGCGUAGAUAUCUGGAGGAACACCGGUGGCGAAGGCGGCAUCCUGGACCGGCAUUGACGCUGAGGCGCGAAAGCCGGGGGAGCAAACGGG